rnacentral:rRNA from 1 species
GACGAACGCUGGCGGCGUGCUUAACACAUGCAAGUCGAACGGAAAGGCCCUGCUUUUGUGGGGUGCUCGAGUGGCGAACGGGUGAGUAACACGUGAGUAACCUGCCCUUGACUUUGGGAUAACUUCAGGAAACUGGGGCUAAUACCGGAUAGGAUCUCCUGCUGCAUGGUGGGGGUUGGAAAGUUUCGGCGGUUGGGGAUGUACUCGCGGCUUCUCAGCUUGUUGGUGUGGUAGUGGCUUACCAAGGCUUCGACGGGUAGCCGGCCUGAGAGGGGGACCGGCAACAAUGGAAGUGAGACACGGGCGAGACGCGUAAGGGAGGCAGAAGUAGGGGAUCUUACGCAAGGGGCGGAAGCCUGACGGAGCAACGCCGCGUGAGUGAUGAAGGUCGUCGGAUCGUAAAACGCUGUUAGUAGGGAAGAACAAAUGUGUAAGGAACUAUGCACGUCUUGACGGUACCUAAUCAGAAAGCCACGGCUAACUACGGG